UACAGAGGGUGCAAACGUUGCUCGGAAUCAUUGGGCGUAAAGCGCGUGUAGGCGGUUCAGUAAGUCUGCUGUGAAAGUCCAGGGCUCAACCCUGGGAUGCCGGUGGAUACUGCUGGGCUAGAGUACGGAAGAGGCGAGUGGAAUUCCCGGUGUAGCGGUGAAAUGCGCAGAUAUCGGGAGGAACACCAAUUGCGAAGGCAGCUCGCUGGGACGUUACUGACGCUGAGACGCGAAAGCGUGGGGAGCAAACAGG
rnacentral:rRNA from 1 species